rnacentral:rRNA from 1 species
UACGAAGGGUGCAAACGUUGCUCGGAAUUAUUGGGCGUAAAGAGCUCGUAGGCGGUGUGUCACGUCGGCCGUGAAAACCUGCAGCUUAACUGUGGGUCUGCGGUGGAUACGGGCAGGCUAGAGGCAGGUAGGGGAGAACGGAAUUCCCGGUGUAGCGGUGAAAUGCGCAGAUAUCGGGAGGAACACCUGCGGCGAAGGCGGGUUGCUGGGCUGACACUGACGCUGAGGCGCGAAAGCUAGGGGAGCGAACGGG